GACGAACGCUGGCGGCGUGCCUAAUACAUGCAAGUAGAACGCAGUUGCGAACGGGUGAGUAACGCGUAGGUAACUGCCUCAUAGCGGGGGAUAACUAUUGGAAACGAUAGCUAAUACCGCCUACUUGGAGAUGGACCUGCUUUGUAUUAGCUAGUUGGUGAGGUAAAGGCUCACCAAGGCGACGAUACAUAGCCGACCGGAGAGGAUGAUCAGCCACACUGGGACUGAGACACGGCCCAGACUCCUACGGGAGGCAGCAGUAGGGAAUCUUCCGCAAUGGACGGAAGUCUGACCGAGCAACGCCGCGUGAGUGAAGAAGGUUUCGGAGCGUAAAACUCUGUUGUUAGAGAAGCGGUAACUAAACAGAAAGGGACGGCUAACUACGUGCCAGCAGCCGCGGUAAUAC
rnacentral:rRNA from 1 species